CUCGACUAUUGCAGUUGCUCAGCUUAGUAUAUCGUAUUUAUUGCGGCUACUCAACUUCGUAUAUCUUGAUUAUUGCGGGUGCACAUCUUAGUAGAUCUUAUUUAUUGCGGCUACUCAACUUAGUAUAUUUUGAUUAUUGCGGGUGCUAGAUGAUCUUAUUUAUUGCGGCUACUUAACUUAGUAUAUCUUGUUUAAUGUAGGUGCUCAGUUUAGUAUAUAUUGUUUAUUGUUGGUGCACAGCUUAUAUUAUCUUAUUUACUGCGGGUACUAAACUUAG